CAGCCUUGUCCUCUGCACUGUCUGAGCGAGUUGCAGCGCAGUGUCUCUGAUCCUGGGAUCUUGCCUGCCCGUCCCCAGCGAACCCCGAGUGGGGCGAGACCCUGUGGCACCGGGGCUUGGAAGACUGAGUUGGCGUUUCAGAGAAUGGUUGAGUCAAUGACAUUGCUGUGGGUCUGGAGUCACAUGUAGGCCAGGCCAGGCCAGACCAGAAACUGAGAGUCCAUGAGGAUUCCUUGUGCCGUGGCCCGUUGUCUGAGUGAUGAACACAAUCAUCUGGCUAGAGACCAUCAUCAGCUUCACUUAUCCCUCGUAGGAACUACCUGUGACUCCCUUUCGCACUGAGCUUUACUCACCCUGAUUGCUUUCAGAAUUCUUGCUGUUUCCUUUGGGACUCCGUCUGCUGGUCUCCUGGAGUUGCUCGGCCACACAAUGCCAAUACGAAGGGGCCAUGUGGCUCCCCAGAACACCUUCCUUGACACCAUCAUCCGCAAACUGGAGG